rnacentral:rRNA from 1 species
UACGUAGGGUGCAAGCGUUAAUCGGAAUUACUGGGCGUAAAGCGCACGUAGGCGGCUUUGUAAGUUAGAGGUGAAAGCCCAGGGCUUAACCCUGGAAUUGCCUUUAAGACUGCAUCGCUAGAAUCGUGGAGAGGUAAGUGGAAUUCCGAGUGUAGAGGUGAAAUUCGUAGAUAUUCGGAAGAACACCAGUGGCGAAGGCGACUUACUGGACACGUAUUGACGCUGAGGUGCGAAAGCGUGGGGAGCAAACAGG